rnacentral:rRNA from 1 species
AGAGUUUGAUCCUGCCUCAGAUCAAACGCUGGCGGUAUGCUUAACACAUGCAAGUCGAACGGUAGCAGCAGAGCUUGCUCUGGCUGACGAGUGGCGGACGGGUGCGUAACGCGUGGGAAUUUACCUUUUAGUGGGGGAUAGCCCGGAGAAAUCCGGAUUAAUACCGCAUAAUCUCUACGGAGCAAAGUGGGGGAUCUUCGGACCUCACGCUAUUAGAUGAGCCCGCGUUAGAUUAGCUUGUUGGUGAGGUAAUGGCUCACCAAGGCAACGAUCUAUAGCUGGUUUGAGAGGAUGAUCAGCCACACUGGGACUGAGACACGGCCCAGACUCCUACGGGAGGCAGCAGUGGGGAAUAUUGGACAAUGGGCGCAAGCCUGAUCCAGCAAUACCGCGUGUGUGAAGAAGGCCUGAGGGUUGUAAAGCACUUUCAAUAGAGACGAAAAGCUUAGGGUUAAUAACCCUGGGUCUUGACUUAACCUAUAGAAGAAGCACGCGGUAAUACGCAGGGUGCGAGCGUUAAUCGGAAUUACUGGGCGUAAAGCGUGCGCAGGCGGCUUUUUAAGACAGGUGUGAAAUCCCCGGGCUUAACCUGGGAAUGGCGCUUGUGACUGGAAGGCUAGAGUGCGGCAGAGGGGGAUGGAAUUCCUGGUGUAGCAGUGAAAUGCGUAGAUAUCAGGAGGAACACCGAUGGCGAAGGCAGUCCCCUGGGUCGACACUGACGCUCAGGCACGAAAGCGUGGGGAGCAAACAGGAUUAGAUACCCUGGUAGUCCACGCCCUAAACGAUGUCAACUAGUUGUUGGGGAAGGAGACUUCUUUAGUAACGUAGCUAACGCGUGAAGUUGACCGCCUGGGGAGUACGGCCGCAAGGUUAAAACUCAAAGGAAUUGACGGGGACCCGCACAAGCGGUGGAUGAUGUGGAUUAAUUCGAUGCAACGCGAAAAACCUUACCUACCCUUGACAUGCCAGGAACUUGCCAGAGAUGGCUUGGUGCCCGAAAGGGAGCCUGGACACAGGUGCUGCAUGGGUUGUCGUCUCAGCUCGUGUCGUGAGAUGUUGGGUUAAGUCCCGCAACGAGCGCAACCCUUGUCAUUAAUUGCCAUCAUUUAGUUGGGCACUCUAAUGAGACUGCCGGUGACAAACCGGAGGAAGGUGGGGAUGACGUCAAGUCCUCAUGGCCCUUAUGGGUAGGGCUUCACACGUCAUACAAUGGCGCGUACAGAGGGUUGCCAACCCGCGAGGGGGAGCCAAUCCCAGAAAGCGCGUCGUAGUCCGGAUUGUUCUCUGCAACUCGAGAGCAUGAAGUCGGAAUCGCUAGUAAUCGCGGAUCAGCAUGUCGCGGUGAAUACGUUCCCGGGUCUUGUACACACCGCCCGUCAUACCAUGGGAGUGGGUUUCACCAGAAGUAGCUAGCCUAACCGCAAGGGGGGCGGUUACCACGGUGAGAUUCAUGACUGGGGUGAAGUCGUAACAAGGUAACC